rnacentral:lncRNA from 1 species
AUCUGUGGAUAGACGGACCGUGCUGAAGGAAUAUAGAACAAUCAUUCAAGCGUGAUGAUUAGAAUAUUGCAAUUGAGAAAAAGAUCAAAGUAAUAAACCCAAAAAAUGUGACAAAGUUCAAAGGAAACGACAUGAGGGGAUAACAGUAGGUCUUUAGCCGGAAGUUUAUUCGUUCCACUUUCACAAAAAUUGACGCUAAAGAAAGCAAACGUUAAUGGGAACAAAAAUGACCAAGAAUUCUUUCGCUGGGCGAUUUUAUAUUCUCUAUGUCAGAAAACCUAGUACAUCAGUUCAAAGAGUCGUUGGACGAGCUACAGUUCGACAGAAUUAAGUUCCCAGUAUUACUCGAUACAAUUGAUAGAUUUGAGACAUUGAACAGAAACAUCGACGUAAACGUGUUAGGUAACAGAAGUAUUGCAAAUGAUGAGGAUAAUAAAAUUAAACUAAAUGUGUAUCAAAUCACAGGUACAAGACACGUGAUCAUAAGGUU